UUUCAACAGCAACGCGUCACACUUCAGCAAAUUUACACAGAUAUUCUAUUUUCGUUCUCUUCUCUUAGCUAUUACGCUUUAAUGCAUUUUAUUACGGAGAUCGAUAUCUUGGUAAAAUAACCAUUUUUAUAAACUAGCGGGGCAGUGAAAUCUUUGCUUUGUGCUAAAGUCAACAGUGCUGAGUUGAGCUCAAAUAAAUGCUGCGAUGCUCGAGCCCGUUGCAGUAGUCUGUGAGGCUAGUCUAAGCGCGGGACUGCCAUCGCUUUCAAAUCUACAGAACACAAGGGCAUCAGGUACAAGUAGGCGUCUCACCGGUGAUGAAUGUACAACUGAGAAGAGAAACAGAACGGCUUUUGAGUCACUGUGUUCAUUAGUACCUGGUUAGGACUGCGUCCAACCUGAUGGCAAAUAUGAAAUAUCAAAGCGCUUGUCAGCACUCCUGAAUGAGACAAAGAAAGGCUGCAUUAAUGAUUAACUGUGCUAAAAGCCCCGUCUUUUGUAUUCCCAUGGUGCCUGGGCUAUCUUGCUGCCAUGUGACAUGAUCGGGCCCUUUUCUAGCAGAUUGAGGAAAGCUAGUGAGCAAACACAGGUGCUUAGGAGUCAGCAUGGCUGUCAGGGGCAACCACAAACAACACCAGCUAUGCCUGGUUAAAUGACCUCCUCUGUUUGCUUCCAUUGCUGCUUCCUGGGGAUCGUACAUUUCAAGCCCAGUGUCUCCUGCCCCCAUUCUCAGCUUUCGCACGCAGUGUUGAAAAACCAGGCAGAGCCACUUCUUUGAUACAACAACAUUCGGUGGCCAAACCAAGGGACAGAGUACACUAAUUAAAAGUGUUCAAGACUUUAGCUGCCAAAACAAAACACAUUUAUUUUUCCUCAAGUGGGGCUAUUUUGGUGACCCUGUGUCAAACACAAAGGAGCCAUUCAUUUUGAAAUGAGCAUUUGGAAAUCUGUGUGUGUGGAAGAGAGCAAAUCACUAUUAAUAGUUGGCAAAUAAGAAACGUUUCAAAGAAGGUUGUUUGCAGCUUUAGAACGCCAGACACGCCUCGGGCUAAAUGCCAGUGUCCUGGGUAUGAAUGUUACACAGUAGCAAGACUCGUACAAGGCUUCUCUGUUGUGGAAAGUACAAAGUCCCCCUAGCGGAAUAGUGAACUUUCUACAUAGCACAAGUCAGAAUGGCUGUCUUUUAUUGUUCAAAUAUUUAUAUUUGUAUAUUACAGCUCUGUGCAAUUACGCAGGGCCAGUAAACCUGUAUUACCAAGAAAAUGCUAAAGGUGUUUUAAGUAAACAAGUAAAAUCCACAAGAGAGGAAAUCAAGUUAUAAAGAGGAAGGUUAAGAGCAGUGUCAGCACAGCCUAUGACACUGGGGCCUAUUGUAAUGUCUAAACGAUGUCUUAAUACCACGUUCCUGAAAUGACACUUCAUUAUUGUAUAUUGUAUAUGAUAAAAGCAGGUGAAUAAAUACCCGUGUGAAAAGGCACAGUCAGAUUCAUAUAGAGUUGAAGAGUGGUGGUAUUUAGAUCAGCCACUGUUGAGAUCAUUAAAAUAGACAGCUUACUUAAAUAACGGAAUAAGCUUAUUCAAGAGGUAUUGCUUUGCCUGUCUACUCCAUUUACAUAGUUUCUUCAUUAACAAUGACUUCAGCUUUUGAUAAUGAUUGCUACAUAGACUAAUAGGGAUUGUUUCCAACAAAGUCUACUGGCGCAAUAUGGUAUAAGACUAUAAUGUUAAAAGAGGAUCACUCUCAAAAGCAAAAUCAAACCUAAAGCUACGGCCAGGUCUCUUAUUUGAGCACACAAGGCUGUUAGACUGCAGCUUUAUUGCAUAGUUCUUGUCAGUGCAAAAAGUCUCAUCUAUUGUCUGUGAAAACUCCUAGCAGAUUUCAGGCAAUGGCGAAAAGAUUAAAAAGACCCAUUGAAAACUGUGAUAAUCUCAAAGGCUCUUUGAAGUUCUGCAUACAAUGCAACGUUUUACAGAGCAGGAGCACUUAAAAAGGCUGUAGACUGAAUGAACUUGGGUCUUUUGUAAGAUCUGUACCAACAACACAGUCCUCUGAACUACGGAAAACAAACAAAUAUUCAUAAUAUGCAGUCGACUAGCUGUGAUGUUUGGUGCUGCUUGCAAGCAUAAACUCAAUAUGUAUUUCAAUUACAUUAGUUUACAAUAGAAUCUGUCAUCUUGCUAAAAUGUCAACCAUGGGCUAUGAUUUUACACGAUCUGUGUUUUUUUUUAAUGCUAACUUGAUUUACUAUCCUGUAUUAAGAAAUAAAGAUAGUUAACUGAA